AUGGUUUCUCUCCGGAAGGUCAAGGACACCUCUCCCAGGCUGGCUCUGCCGGCAGGGCCCCUCCCGCAGCCUUCCCUAAACCCCGGACCCUUUCCGGCCCGCCACCCCCAGGCUCCCAGGGACACACUCCUGCUGCAGGCAGGCUCGGCUGGGUCUCGGAAGUGGCCUGCUCUCCCCGCUGCAUCACACGGAGCUGAUGUGCCAGAGCAAGUUAUUUUUAAAAGGUGUUCCCACAGCAUCACAAGGAUCCCGACCCAGAAACACCCUCCAGCCCCGCAGGCAGGCGCAGGACCACGGCCUUUGGGCCUCGCUGGGCUGGCGCUCUGCUCGCGGGGACACUCUUCCGAUGGUCUCGGUUCCUUUGACCCUCGGCUGAGGUGCUGCCAUCCUCUGGGCUGGUUCAAACAGCAGGCUCUGAAUGCAGAUGUCUCACCUCACCGGGUACUUCCUGGACGUGAUCCCCGUUGCCCGACACGUCUUUACUGCCUGUUGCCAUGCUCUAGGCCACGCAGACAUGCAAAAAGCCACAUGCGUUUAUGGGCGGGAUCAUGUUCCAAACUGUGAAGCCCGCUCAAGGGUCUUAUUCCAUUUGCCCACACGACAGCCCUGACAUCAGCAUGGCCCUUGACGUCGUGCAUGGCGCUGUCUCACUCUGCUGCCGGUCCCUCUGACCGGGACACCAUCCAGCCCAAGUCUCAGUCCCUUUAAGAAAUACUCAGACUGGAGUUCCCGUCAGGGCUCAGCAGUUAAGGAACCUGACUGGUAUCCAUGAGGACACAGGUUUGAUCCCUGGCCUCACUCAGUGGGUUAAGGAUCCGGCGUCACCAUGAGCUGUGGUGUAGGUCGAAAAUGUGGCUCGGAUCCCACGUUGCUGUGGCUGUGGUGUAGGCUACAGCUCCAAUUGGACCCCUGGCCUAGGAACCUCCAUAUGCCGUGGGUGUGGCCCUAAAAAAAAAAAAAACAUACGUUACUUAAAAAAAGAAGAGCCUGUUUAGAAAAUGCACAGGUAGAAUUUAGAAAGGGGGGCAUCGGAGGUGUACCCCUAAACCACUGCUUAUCUUGCCCCUCGGAGGCUAGAAAAUAAAUUCAGUUCAGAUUUGAAGUUGGUCUAAAUU
rnacentral:lncRNA from 1 species